GGGGAUUUAGCUCAGCGGCAUAAGCACCUGCCUUGCAAGCAGGCAGUCAUGAGUUCGAUUCUCGGUACCG
rnacentral:tRNA from 1 species